AGUAUUUUACCGAGUCGUUUAUAAUACGCGCAAAACAAAAGUAGACUGUAGAGAACACUGCAUUUUUUAAAUUGAGGGCACAGCUUGGGAGACCAAAGUGGGAGAGACAGCGCUGGAUGCGGAACGGUCCUCUUCCCUUGUCUUCACUGCCAAGGUCAGCCCAAGGAAAAAUAAAUGGAGGCAACCAGCUCAACCCCUUGAUGUUUCAACCAAGGCGGCCGUGGGAGCCCACAAUACUGGAAGCUGUAGAUCUGCAUGCAGCGGGGACUGCAGCUCCCUCAAAAUACAAGAGCAUGUGUGUGUGUGCUCUCCGCCACCUUAUCUCUUUUUGGCAAUAAGCCAUGGUGUAACCCCCUUGAGAUGACAAAAGAAAUAAAAGCUCAGAUGUGA